rnacentral:rRNA from 1 species
UACGUAGGGAGCAAGCGUUAAUCGGAAUUACUGGGCGUAAAGCGUGCGCAGGCGGUGAUGUAAGACAGGUGUGAAAUCCCCGGGCUUAACCUGGGAACUGCAUUUGUGACUGCAUCGCUGGAGUGCGGCAGAGGGGGAUGGAAUUCCGCGUGUAGCAGUGAAAUGCGUAGAUAUGCGGAGGAACACCGAUGGCGAAGGCAAUCCCCUGGGCCUGCACUGACGCUCAUGCACGAAAGCGUGGGGAGCAAACAGG